rnacentral:rRNA from 1 species
UACGAAGGGGGCUAGCGUUGCUCGGAAUCACUGGGCGUAAAGCGCACGUAGGCGGCUUUUUAAGUCAGAGGUGAAAUCCUGGAGUUCAACUCCAGAACUGCCUUUGAUACUGGAGAGCUUGAGUCCGGGAGAGGUGAGUGGAACUGCGAGUGUAGAGGUGAAAUUCGUAGAUAUUCGCAAGAACACCAGUGGCGAAGGCGGCUCACUGGCCCGGUACUGACGCUGAGGUGCGAAAGCGUGGGGAGCAAACAGG